CCUACGGGAGGCAGCAGUGGGGAAUAUUGGACAAUGGGCGAAAGCCUGAUCCAGCAAUGCCGCGUGAGUGAUGAAGGCCUUAGGGUCGUAAAGCUCUUUUACCAGGGAUGAUAAUGACAGUACCUGGAGAAUAAGCUCCGGCUAACUCCGUGCCAGCAGCCGCGGUAAUACGGAGGGAGCUAGCGUUGUUCGGAAUUACUGGGCGUAAAGCGUACGUAGGCGGUUAUUCAAGUCAGAGGUGAAAGCCCGGGGCUCAACCCCGGAACGGCCUUUGAAACUAGAUAGCUAGAGUCUUGGAGAGGUCAGUGGAAUUCCGAGUGUAGAGGUGAAAUUCGUAGAUAUUCGGAAGAACACCAGUGGCGAAGGCGACUGACUGGACAAGUACUGACGCUGAGGUACGAAAGCGUGGGGAGCAAACAGGAUUAGAUACCCUGGUAGUCCACGCCGUAAACGAUGAUAACUAGCUGUCCGGGUACUUGGUAUCUGGGUGGCGCAGCUAACGCAUUAAGUUAUCCGCCUGGGGAGUACGGUCGCAAGAUUAAAACGUCAAAGGAAUUAACGG
rnacentral:rRNA from 1 species